rnacentral:misc_RNA from 1 species
AACGCACCUUGCGCUCCUUGGUAUUCCGAGGAGCAUGCCUGUUUGAGUGUCAUGAAAUUCUCAACCUUUUUGGCUUUUCCUAAAGUCGAUCAGGCUUGGAUGUGGGAGUUUGCGGGCUUUUCUAAAGUCGGCUCUCCUUAAAUUUAUUAGUAGGGACCUCUGUUGCCUUAGCUUUUGGUGUGAUAAUUAUCUACGCCAUCAUGUGAAGCAGCUUUAAACUUGGAGGUUACUGCUCUCUAACUGUCUCACAUGGGACAUUUCCUGACAAUUUGACCUCAAAUCAGGUAGGACUACCCGCUGAACUUAA